rnacentral:rRNA from 1 species
GACGAACGCUGGCGGCGUGCUUAACACAUGCAAGUCGAACGGAAAGGCCCUGCUUUUGUGGGGUGCUCGAGUGGCGAACGGGUGAGUAACACGUGAGUAACCUGCCCUUGACUUUGGGAUAACUUCAGGAAACUGGGGCUAAUACCGGAUAGGGGCUCCUGCUGCAUGGUGGGGGUUGGAAAGUUUCGGCGGUUGGGGAUGGACUCGCGGCUUAUCAGCUUGUUGGUGGGGUAGUGGCUUACCAAGGCUUUGACGGGUAGCCGGCCUGAGAGGGUGACCGGCCACAUUGGGACUGAGGUACGGCCCAGACUCCUACGGGAGGCAGCAGUGGGGAAUAUUGCACAAUGGGCGGAAGCCUGAUGCAGCAACGCCGCGUGCGGGAUGACGGCCUUCGGGUUGUAAACCGCUUUCGCCUGUGACGAAGCGUGAGUGACGGUAAUGGGUAAAGAAGCACCGGCUAACUACGUG